CUGCCACACUAACAGGGAACCAGCACC
rnacentral:misc_RNA from 1 species